CCUACGGGAGGCAGCAGUGGGGAAUUUUGGACAAUGGGGGCAACCCUGAUCCAGCAAUGCCGCGUGAGUGAAGAAGGCCUUCGGGUUGUAAAGCUCUUUUGUCAGGGAAGAAACGGUUCGUUCUAAUACCGUGAACUAAUGACGGUACCUGAAGAAUAAGCACCGGCUAACUACGUGCCAGCAGCCGCGGUAAU
rnacentral:rRNA from 1 species